rnacentral:lncRNA from 1 species
CGCAAACCAAAGCCAGCAUUAUGACCAUAGUUCAAUGAAUUGCCUCUAAUUCAAAUUUUCUGUGUCCAGAUUACCAAAAUGGGGAUGGUAAAAUUGGUACACAGGCUUGAUCGGGACAGAAGCCGGUGAAACCACUGACAAAUAUGAAAAUGUCUGCAGAUAGAUCAGCCUCAAACUCAUAGUUGAUGCAGAUGAUAGAUACAAAUUCUUUGUUAUGCCGGAUAUAAGGAAAAUAUUAUUUUACUGUAGGAGAGUGAUACAGUCCUCCAAAAGCUGUGGAGACCACAUUGCUGAAGACAGUUUGGGAUUUUGUAUCCCUGGAGUUUUCCAAUUCUGAGCUAGCUGGAGCUACAGUUGACCUGACCUACUGUUCCUUCCAACCUCUCUAUCAUUCUUUGAAAUCUACAUUAGACUGAACAUGAUUUUACUGCAGCACGUCUUGGCUAUGAUCCUAAAUCUCACAUGUAGCUCUUCUUAUCAUGUAGAUAACCCUUCCCAAUGCCAAUGACUGCAGAAGAAACUCAUGUCCCCAGGCAAUUCCUCAGAUGACUGCUUCCAACAGAAGACAAAGAAGAGGAUGAAAAGAAUCAAGUCAAGUUUUGCAGACCACAGCAAGAGAGCCAAGAAAACUAAAAGAAUGUUGUCGUUCACUCAGACUGGAAAUCAGUGCGAAUGUGACUGCAUAGAGGAGCACAUACAGCUCUCACCUGGCAGCAGGAUGGAAAGAACGUUUUGGCGCAAGGGGCAAACCAAGACUCACAUUCGCAUGCCCAGAAACCUUGCUCUCUUGGCAGUACAUUAA